GUUACUGCUGGGCCGGUUGGGCCGUGCCCGGUGCCGGUGCCGGUGCCGGUGCCGGUGCCGGUGCCGGUGCCGGGCUGUCCGGCAUCA
rnacentral:tRNA from 1 species